rnacentral:rRNA from 1 species
CGGAGCUAAUACCGGAUAAUAUUUUGAACCGCAUGGUUCAAAAGUGAAAGACGGUCUUGCUGUCACUUAUAGAUGGAUCCGCGCUGCAUUAGCUAGUUGGUAAGGUAACGGCUUACCAAGGCAACGAUGCAUAGCCGACCUGAGAGGGUGAUCGGCCACACUGGAACUGAGACACGGUCCAGACUCCUACGGGAGGCAGCAGUAGGGAAUCUUCCGCAAUGGGCGAAAGCCUGACGGAGCAACGCCGCGUGAGUGAUGAAGGUCUUCGGAUCGUAAAACUCUGUUAUUAGGGAAGAACAUAUGUGUAAGUAACUGUGCACAUCUUGACGGUACCUAAUCAGAAAGCCACGGCUAACUACGUGCCAGCAGCCGCGGUAAUACGUAGGUGGCAAGCGUUAUCCGGAAUUAUUGGGCGUAAAGCGCGCGUAGGCGGUUUUUUAAGUCUGAUGUGAAAGCCCACGGCUCAACCGUGGAGGGUCAUUGGAAACUGGAAAACUUGAGUGCAGAAGAGGAAAGUGGAAUUCCAUGUGUAGCGGUGAAAUGCGCAGAGAUAUGGAGGAACACCAGUGGCGAAGGCGACUUUCUGGUCUGUAACUGACGCUGAUGUGCGAAAGCGUGGGGAUCAAACAGGAUUAGAUAC